rnacentral:rRNA from 1 species
GCGGCGAAGAAACGACCCGCGAAGGGUUGCCAGAGGACGAGCCUGCCGGCCCAUCAGCUAGUUGGCGAGGUAACGGCUCACCAAGGCGAAGACGGGUAGCUGGUCUGAGAGGAUGAUCAGCCACACUGGAACUGAGACACGGUCCAGACUCCUACGGGAGGCAGCAGGUGGGGAAUAUUGCGCAAUGGGCGAAAGCCUGACGCAGCCACGCCGUGUGAGCGAUGAAGGCCUUCGGGUCGUAAAGCUCUGUGGGGAGAGAAGAAUAAAGCCUGUGAAGAGCAGGCCUUGACGGUAUCUCCUUAGCAAGCACCGGCUAACUCCGUG